UACGUAGGUGGCGAGCGUUGUCCGGAUUUACUGGGCGUAAAGAGCGCGCAGGCGGCUGGUCAAGUCCGAUGUGAAAGCUCCCGGCUUAACUGGGAAAUUGCAUCGGAAACUGAUCGGCUGGAAGGUGGGAGAGGGUAGCGGAAUUCCCGGUGUAGUGGUGAAAUGCGUAGAUAUCGGGAGGAACACCAGUGGCGAAGGCGACUUACUGGACUGUAACUGACGCUGAGGCACGAAAGCGUGGGGAGCAAACAGGG
rnacentral:rRNA from 1 species